GUGCUUGCUUUGGCAGCAUGUAUACUAACAUUGGAAUUAUGUAGAGAAGAUUAAUAUAGUUGUUGCACAAUGAUAACACAAUUUUGUGAAGUGUUCCACAAUUUU
rnacentral:snRNA from 1 species